UCUCUGCUUCAACAGUGUUUGGACAGAA
rfam:Myotis lucifugus cont2.17350, whole genome shotgun sequence.